rnacentral:sRNA from 1 species
AUUCUGCCCAAGCGGGGAAGGAUGAGAAGCUUCGACCAAGGUUCGACUUGAGCGCCAGCGAGAGAGCGUUGCCGCAGGCAACGACCCGAAGGGCGAAGCGCGCAGCGCUGAGUAAUCCUUCCCCCCACCACCA